GGCCGGCAGCCAGGCUCCCGUGUGCUCCCAGCAGCUGAGCUGCCAGGCUCCCAAGGCCAAGGGCAGCAGCAGAGGGAAAUGUGGGACUGGCCUCCCACUCUCUCACCCCAGGAGGAGCACAGAAGGCUCAGGCGGAAGCAGGAGACAGGGAGAGGGUGGCCCCCUCCUCUUGGGGGCGCAGGGCUGGAGGAGAGCCACCCCAGACGGCAGGCUGACCCGCGGAGCCUCUGGUCUGAGCAGAUUCAAGACCAGGGUUCCCUGAGGCUGGAACCAGGCCCCACUCUGAAUGCCUGGAAACCUCAAAUGGACUGACCACGACACCCGCUGGGAAUUCCUUCCUGAGCUAGAGCUGCAGUUUCCCCUAAGAAGGCUGAGCUUCGUUCUCAUCUGACAUUCUCAUGGACUUGCUUUCUGCUUGCUGUCCAGGGGCAAGUUUAGUUCAUUCUAGGAAGGAGGGUAGCACAAUGACUAAGCAUGAGGACUCGCUUAGGAUUUGAAUGUGAGUUCCACUGCUUAUUGGCUGUGUGACCUUGUGUAAGUUACUUAACCCCUCUGUGCCGCCAUUGCCUCAACUGUAAAGUAGUUGUUGUAUGAAUUGAAUGAGUUAAGACAGAAAAACA